UACGUAGGGUGCAAGCGUUGUCCGGAAUUAUUGGGCGUAAAGAGCUCGUAGGCGGUUCGUCGCGUCGGCUGUGAAAUCCCGGAGCUCAACUCCGGGUCUGCAGUCGAUACGGGCGGACUCGAGUUCGGCAGGGGAGACUGGAAUUCCUGGUGUAGCGGUGAAAUGCGCAGAUAUCAGGAGGAACAUCAGUGGCGAAGGCGGCCAUCUGGGACAACACUGACGCUGAGGCACGAAAGCGUGGGGAGCAAACAGG
rnacentral:rRNA from 1 species